rnacentral:rRNA from 1 species
CCUACGGGAGGCAGCAGUGAGGAAUAUUGGUCAAUGGCCGGAAGGCUGAACCAGCCAUGCCGCGUGAAGGUCAGUGCCCUAUGGGCGUUAAACUUCUUUUGUGCGGGAGCAAUAAUGGUCACGUGUGGCCAGACGAGAGUACCGUACGCAUAAGCAUCGGCUAACUCCGUGCCAGUAGCCGCGGUAAUACGGGGGAUGCAAGCGGUAUCCGGAUUUAUUGGGUUUAAAGGGUGCGUAGGCUGUGAGGUAAGUCAGCGGGGAAAUGCCCCCGCUCAACGGGGUGAAGUGCCAUUGAUACUGCCUGGCUGGAAUGCGGAUGCGGUGGGAGGAAUGUGUGGUGUAGCGGUGAAAGGCAUAGAUAUCACACAGAACACCGAUUGCGAAGGCAUCUCACGAAUCCGCGAUUGACGCUGAUGCACGAAAGCGUGGGUAUCAAACAGGAUUAGAUACCCUGGUAGUC